rnacentral:rRNA from 1 species
UACGGAGGGGGCUAGCGUUGUUCGGAAUUACUGGGCGUAAAGCGCACGUAGGCGGCUUUGCAAGUCAGAGGUGAAAGCCCGGGGCUCAACCCCGGAAUUGCCUUUGAGACUGCAUCGCUAGAAUUGUGGAGAGGUAAGUGGAAUUCCGAGUGUAGAGGUGAAAUUCGUAGAUAUUCGGAAGAACACCAGUGGCGAAGGCGACUUACUGGACACAUAUUGACGCUGAGGCGCGAAAGCAUGGGGAUCAAACAGG